AGAGAAUCGUGAAUGUGUGCAAAACUGUGUUUUCUGGGAUUUGAGUCUCAAAAAUAUCUAUCAUCUAAGAAGCUAUUGAUGUUUGGAUUUAGAGCAUAUACUCAGAAACUGACAUUCAGAUAAACCACAUAUCUUGCAGGCACUGUUAUUGCUGCAAUUCCUUGCUGUCAUUCAGAGGAUGAUUAUUGUUCUUUUAACAAACAGAAGCAAUUCCUCUUCCAACACGACCCAAUUUUGUGGGAGACCUGGUUUAUAGAGAGGAAAAACUUUGACCGAUGACAAGUAGUUCAUUCCCAAAUAAAUGAGAGUUGACUAAUUACUAUGAGAGUUUACUCAUUUUCUAAUUUACUCAAAAGAUAGUUGGGGUGGAAUGUGAAAUCAUGCAAUUUGGCAUGAUGCCUUAUUUCAUUGAACUUUUUUAUGAUUUGAUUUAAUCCUGUUUCCUACAACAAAACUAAGAAGAAUUAAUUUAGUAUAGGAGUAGAAGAAACAACCAUUUGACAUGUUUUUCCUAAGGGACCCAGUUUUCUUAUGCCAAGAUUUAGAAUUUGUUAUAUGCUUGGUUUGCUGCAACUGUGCUUUUGCUAGUUUCAGGUUUUAUGAUAUAACUUUAGGGAAAUAUGAAAAAUUUUGAGAAUAAACUCAAAAUAACUGAGGUGGUGGUAAUUUAAAGUUUCACUUUUUACUCAUAUUUGGCAGCAAGAUGAAAGUUUGUGCUGUGUUAGUAAUUAAGAUACUGUCACAAGGAGCUGUUAAAACCUGACUAAAUUUGAAUAAAGAGAAGGAUGAUGAUGAUGACUUCAUCCUAAUCCUAAUCUUAUGUAUUUUGUCAUCAUUAGACUUCAGUCACAUGCAUAGAAAAUGCCCAGACUAAAAAGAAGGAAUUUAGCUCUAAUCUUCCAUCAAGUAUCAUUUCUUCCUUCCAGGCUCAGAAUAUAAAACAUCUCUCCAUUAUACACACAUAAGAUACAUAAAAAGAAAAAUAUCCUUCUGCCUUUAAUAAAUGAUCCUCUAAAUAGUCUCUGAGUUCAGUGACAAACUCGUGUUUCUGAAUUGUUCAUUCAAGUGAAGUAAGGCACUGUUGUUUUUCUACCACUCAUUCCCUUCAUUGAUACAUCCCCCAGGGUCCACAGCCUGAAAAGUAAUCUCUUUAUAACAAACAAACAACAAACAAAGGCAAUCACUCUGUCAUCACAGGUAUUCCCUCUACUACUAAAUGAGUAGAAACUGAAGAACUGCACAUGAACUUGAGACUAUUACUUGUAAUAUUGAUGUUGUGUAAAUUUCAGUCUUCAUAGUCCAGAUAACCUUAAGUUUCAAAGGGCAUGCUGGUCAUUAAAAAAAAAAAAAAAAAAAAAAGAUUUAAUGUAAAAUGACAUACUACAUAGUGCAUGAACAUGUGGCAAAGUAAUUUGGGUCUAUCCUUACUAGUCAAUGAGAGACUAAAUUUGGGGAGAUCAGAUAUGAGUGUUUUAAGUUAAUUCUCAACUGGGAUGAAGACAUCUCUAUGUUAGGAUACAUGGACGGUUGUCCAUAUUCCUUGCAACAUAUGCUCCUGGUAGCUAGACUCCUUAGUGUGUUCUUUCCACCAAAGUAGUGGGGAUAUGUUCAUAUAAUCUGCUAUUGAAUUGUACAAACUUUUACAUUUUCAGAGUUUGAGGGAACCCAAAUAGGAAAGUGAAUUUAGUCAUUUUCCUCUGCUGGUGUUCAAGUCAAAUUUUAAACUCAGAUACUCUCAGAUAUGUUCUACAGUCAGUAAAAAGUGCAUUUUACAUAGUGUUUCCCUUUAGUUUUGCCUACUCUCUUUGAUUUUGUACAAUCUAGAAUGUAACUUGUGUAGGUGAUGGAGGCGCUCUUUUUUUUUUCUUAGAAUACUUAACAAUUACAUAUUUGGUUUUGCUUUGACUAGCAAUAGGAAAAUAGACAAAUACAAGUGUAAAAAUGAGAAAUUUUAAACUUGAAUUAUAAUUUGUGUUUUAUAGUCGUUUCAUAAGUCUGUUGCUCUCUAUGAGUAUGCUCUCUAUAUAUCCUGUAAAAAUAAAUUUAUAUGUUACAUAGAAAUUCAAGAAAUUAAAUUAUUUAUUAAGCUACAAAUGUUUCUUCUGGUUUCUACCUGAUCAUAGAUGAAAAUAAAUUAAAUAAUGUGUUGUUGGAACCUAUGUAAGUACCUUCAUUAAUUUGACAACUCUUGUUAUACUUUUCUUUCCUUCUCUGUUUAUGUCUGUAUAAGCUUAUAUUUCGUAGACUUAAUUCCUAUUAUGAUUAUGACGAAAGGAACUUAAGAAAUGGUCAUUGGCUGAACAAAAAGUAAAACCUUGUUAAAAAAUCAAGUCCAAUUAUAAUCCCUCUCUUUUUCUUCACUACUGGAUUUGAAUCACAAACUCAAGCUCUUAAAAGUCAUUAUCAGGUUAAUAAUCUUUUCAAAGUUAAAUUCUACAUCUUCUCCUUCAUCCAUGUCAUAAUAUUCUUUGAGGAAGAGAAAUGAAAGGAAUGAUUACAUGUGAAUCCUCCUUGCUGUUUCUUUUCUUUACUUCUUGCUCCCUGGGUAUUUUAUCCCUUUCUUUUUAAGGUACUAUUCAUGUAAGGACCUUAAAAUAAAGUUCCCUCAGGUAAUAUUUUAAAGUGACCAACAUCAUUAAUCAUCUUUUUUUUUUUACUCUAUUUGCACCUAGUUGUAGUGCACAGUUAUUUCUAAAGGAAAAUGUUUUGGGCCUUACUUUGCAUUUUAUGUUAAGAUAAAUAAAGUUAUUUGGGGAGAGGGUAAUGGUGGUAUAUCUUUCCAUCACAAGUAUAACAUGUGAACAACCAUAAACCUCUUAGAAUAAAUGGGCUGUUUAGGCAAAAUUCAUAUCUUAGGACAGCCUUUUAAGAAAUAUUUAUCAAAGAUGAAGCAGAGGUAAAUCAUUAUGAAAAAUGGAGAGUAAUUUUUUUUACAACUGUAAGAUUAUUUUAAGUUGAAUUUCAAAGUAAUUAAUAUACUUAAAAUUUCAUAGAAUCAUUUCUACUUCAGUAGGUUUUUUCAUUAUGAAAAAUAACUUCUACUGAAAAGCAAAAUGUAAUAUGGAUUAUGACUCAGUGUAUAAUUUCCAUAUUGUUUUUUAAAUUGUGAAUCAUAGGGCCUGACCCAUUAUUAAAAAUAUUAGGAAGGAAUUGAUAGUUGAAGAACAUUUGGGAUUUUGUAUGCACCUCACAUACACACACAUAAUUCUCAGGAACUUUCAAUUACACUUAUAUUAUUAGCAGGGGAUUAAAAGACUGAUACUCAUGGAACAUCUUAUUUCUAGAAGAUUCCUAAUUGAUAUCAGAUCUACAUUUACUAAAAAAUAGAAACAUAGAAUGAGGCAAAUAUUCAGAGAAUUAAAAAAGUGGUGACCCACUCACUUAUUACUAUGGAAUUUUUUAACAUGUAUGUAUGGCCUAUAAAAGUAAUUCAAAUCAAUUCCCUAAUUAACCUUGCAUUUUCAAUCAAUGUUUAAUGCCCAAUGAAACUGGUGUGUGGGGGGAAGGGUGGGGUAAAGUUCUUAAGGAUAGAGAACAUCUAAAUUUGACAAAUAAUUUAUCCAAUUUUUUAUCCAAAUGAAGGAAUUUUUAUCCCAAUGAUAUAUUGGUUUCACAUGGUACACAGAGGGAAGUUUUUAUUUGAGGUUAUGUAUUUGAUUUAAAAUAUGUUAGGAUUUAAAAAAAAAAAACUUAAGCAGUAAUCAGACUUGACUUUAUGGAUACUAUUUCUGGUAGAAUAAUAUAUACUAAAUGAUUUAAACAAAAACAUAGGUAAAUAAUAGUCUAGAGGUGGUAAAUGGCAAAAGUCAUCAAGAUGGUUUGUGAAUGACUGCAUUAUAGAAAAACUGCUAAGGCAGUCCAAUUUCUAACUUCUUUCUGGGAAAUAAAAACCAAUAAAAGGCUAACAUCCUAAAAAUCAGAGAGCAGAAGGACAAGUCAAAAGCCUGCAUAAAUGAUGAACAGAACUAUAAAAUGAUGAAAAUCAAUAGCUGGUUUAAAUUAAACAAUGGAAUAUCUCAGUUCUUCUAUUGUCCUUGCCAAUGAAGAACUAUUUACACCACCAUGAACUUGAAAGGAAAAUAGGGCUCUGAAUGAAAACCCUUUCUUCAAUGGUCUCAGCAUGCUUUUCCUAAUUAAAAUGGAAAAUUUAUUGCUAAUCAUUAUAAAGUAUGAAUAGAAAUUAUGAUUUUGGCAUGCUUGAUACUGAGACAUAAUGGCUUGGUGAGAUGAGCUAAUUCUUCUAUAGCAUCCUUCCAAUUCUAAGACCUAGGUAUACCUUGAACCACCUGGGUAAGUUUGAAAACUCCUAAAGUCCCAGAAAUUUCAGCUGAAAACUAGUCUGGCAUUUUCCCCUUUUGAUAGUUAGUUUAAUAAACCCUCCAAAUGCUUCUAUAAGAAAACCAGAAUUGAAAACUAUUGGAGUCAAAAAGAUGGGUCUCAAAUUUUAGACUUCAGAACAAUUUCCUGGAAAGUUCAUUAAAAAUGGAAAUUCAAAUCAAACACCAAUAGUACUGGAGUGGGGCCCAGAAUCUAUUUACUUAACAUGCUUCACAAAUGACUCUAAUGUGGAGGCCCAAGGACCCCUUUUUGAGAAAUACAGGUGUGGGAUUUAUUGUUUCUGUCAUUACAACCACUGUCACUCUUUGGAAUACAAAAUUGAUGUUUGAAAUGGAUGAAUUUCACCAUAAAUUGGGUAUUUCUUUUUUUUUAAUAACUCCUCUUAGUUUGUUCACCAGAACUCAAAAUGAAAUCCUGAAAAAAGCUGAAUGAUAAGGACAAUGACAUUUUAUUUGAGAAUAUCUCAAAAAGAAAGAAACUAAAAUGGUCAAGAAAACUGAGUCCAACUCUGUCAUGAAAUAUGUGACUUCAAAAAAGUAAUUGUACCUUUGUAGAAGAAAAAAAAUAUGCUAAUAGUCAAGUAUUCAUUAAAAAUACACCUUCCUUUUAAGAGAUUACAGGUCUAUUGUAACUUCCAUUUCCAUUAAAGAAGAAAAAUAGCAAAAUUAGGGAUACCAAAGAUAUUGGGUGUGAAAAUAAAUCAAUAUAAAAUUUGCUAAAUUUUUUGGACUUAUUUAUUUUUCCUCAUUUUAACGAUGAAUUCAUCAAAAGAUGAACUCUAAUGAAAACUUUUCCAAAUGUCCUUUAGGAUUAGAAUCGCUUAUAGCAUUUGUUAAAAGCAUAGAUUAUUGGCUCACACUCCAAAACUAUUGAAUACUAGGAAAUCUUUAUGAUCAUGUUAUUUGUAGAACCCUAUUCUAAUGAAUGAUGUAAAGUCUGAGACUAUAUCCAUACAGUGCCAGUACAUUUAGUUAAUUCUAUGUGAGAUGGCAAAUGCAUUCUCUUCACAUUAUUUCGCAAGGAUGAUAAGCUACACAACAAUGACAAACCAGUUGGUUCUUUAUUUCACACCUCAGUCAAGUUUCCUGACUAAGUAUUUCCAGCCAUGUAUAUUUAUCUCACUGGGCUCAUGUUGAUCCUUAUGUUCCUUGUUAUUCAGGAAUGACUACCAAUCAUAAGGUUGCUAGCUUCUGUUUCUUAAGAGGAAUGUCCUAUCUGAUGUCUGAUUGUCACAAACUAAUCAUGCCACUCAUCCUAAGUGCAAAUUUCAAGGACAUGGCUUCUGUUAGUUAAGAAAAAAUAUUUUCAUACAUUCUUUGCAGAGCAAGCCACAUCAAAGGGUUUCAAGAGAAUAGGUUUAAGUUUUUCCACACAUAUGCUAGUGACUUCCACAGCCACUGUAGGCCCUCUGACCACCAAGAGUUUUGUAAUACUAGAACAUCAAAAAAUAAUAUUCAAGGGUAGAAUUUGAGAGCUAUAGCCUUUUUUAUUUCUACACUAAACUAAAAUAGACAAUAUACCAUUUGAGCUGGAUUUAUUUUUCAGAAUGUGUUCUGGACAACAGCAAUUCAAAAUAGUCAACUUUGACCACAUAUAGUAUUGAGUAUGCCAAAUUAGCGUACAUGGGUGCAUGGAUGAGUAAGGUGUGUGCACUUUAAUUGAAAACACUAACAUUACAUUUAAAUAGCCUUAAUCAAUAGAUGUGCUACAUUAAAUAAACAGUUGUAUGAGUUCCCAAGAUAGCACACUCCAUCAGGAAAUUACCCAGUGAAUCACUUUGGCACAGGCUAAAAAUAAAUACCCAGGUUUCUGUUCAACUCACUUUUCUUUAAGGACAUGCAUUUUAUCUUAAAGGAGAGAGUCAGCUCAUUCUUGUUUUUCCCAUAAAAUUUUAGUGAUUGUUUCCAUUUCCUAUUUUUUCCAUUACGUGAUAGCCCUGAAUUAUUUAUUCAUAAAAAAUGGAGGAGGCAUUGCACUCAGCAACUAUCACAAGAAAAGCCUAUGAAAGCACCAAAGUUAUUACUAUGAGUUCCCUAUCUUUUAGUCGAUUUUAUUUUUCCAGGGCUGUGAAAUAACUAAUUUUUCAGAUUCCAUUUAAAUUAUGUGCUUAGCAAAUAACAUAUCCUCAGCAAAGCCUAACUUUAGAAAUACAGUUACUGACAGAACACUGUAAACCAGCUAUAAUGGAAAAAAAUAAAAAUCAUUAUACAAACAAAAAAAUAAAAUAAAAUAAAACUU
rnacentral:lncRNA from 1 species